CCGAUCCGGAGAUCAUCUCCAAGAUCCUUGCUGGCCUUGACAUGGAAUAUAGUCCUGUCGUCUCUGCUCUUGCUGCACGGGUGGAACCGAUCACGGUUCCGGAGUUUCAUAGUCAGCUCCUCAGUUUUGAUA